CUUGCUCUCUGGGUGGCGAGUGGCGGACGGGUGAGGAAUACAUCGGAAUCUACUUUUUCGUGGGGGAUAACGUAGGGAAACUUACGCUAAUACCGCAUACGACCUACGGGUGAAAGCAGGGGAUCUUCGGACCUUGCGCGAUUGAAUGAGCCGAUGUCGGAUUAGCUAGUUGGCGGGGUAAAGGCCCACCAAGGCGACGAUCCGUAGCUGGUCUGAGAGGAUGAUCAGCCACACUGGAACUGAGACACGGUCCAGACUCCUACGGGAGGCAGCAGUGGGGAAUAUUGGACAAUGGGCGCA
rnacentral:rRNA from 1 species